GUAGAGAGCGAGCGUUGUUCGGAAUCAUUGGGCGUAAAGAGCGCGUAGGGUGGUUUGGCAAGUCUGUUGUGAAAGCCCAUGGCUCAACUGUGGAACUGCGACGGAAACUGCCCAGGCUAGAGUGCGGGAGAGGAAAGUGGAAUUCCCAGUGUAGAGGUGAAAUUCGUAGAUACUGGGAGGAACACCGGUGGCGAAGGCGGCUUUCUGGACCGCAACUGACGCUGAGGCGCGAAAGCUAGGGGAGCAAACGGGAUUAGAUACCCCGGUAGUCCUAGCCGUAAACGAUGGGCACUAGGUGUAGGGGGUAUCGACCCCUUCUGUGCCGCAGCUAACGCAUUAAGUGCCCCGCCUGGGGAGUACGGUCGCAAAGACUAA
rnacentral:rRNA from 1 species